AAAGAGAGAAACUAAGAGACCCAUAUAAGCACCAAACUCAUGACCCUUGACUUAUCAUGGUCUUGCCAAAUGAGUUUUCAGAUCUGAACGCUGAGCCUCAGGGCACUCAUGGAGCUUGCUGGAGGUUGCACAGCUAAUAACUGACAGAUCCAUGAUUCCACUCCAGAUCCAUCUGAUACCAAAGGUUCUGGGGUACAUGUGAAGAACAUGCAAGACUGUUGCAUAGGUAUAUACAUGGCAGUAUGGUUUGCUGCCUUCUUUUCCAUCGCCUAUAUCUGACAUUUCUC
rnacentral:lncRNA from 13 species